rnacentral:rRNA from 1 species
GACGAACCGAGCGAACGUUGUUCGGAAUCACUGGGCUUAAAGGGCGCGUAGGCGGUCGUGACAAGUCACUUGUGAAAUCUCCGGGCUUAACUCGGAACGGUCAAGUGAUACUGUCGUGCUAGAGUACAGAAGGGGCAACUGGAAUUCUCGGUGUAGCGGUGAAAUGCGUAGAUAUCGAGAGGAACACCUGCGGCGAAGGCGGGUUGCUGGGCUGAUACUGACGCUGAGGCGCGAAAGCUAGGGGAGCGAACGGG